rnacentral:tRNA from 1 species
UUCUGUGGUUUAGUUGGUUAAAGCGUCGGUCUAGUGUAUACCGAGUUGUGGGUUCAAAUCCCACCAGAA